rnacentral:misc_RNA from 1 species
GACAAUCAUAAGAUUAGAUCUUCAGGUCUGAGGUGUAAAAUUCUGCAAUUCAUCUACUUGAGCGUAAUUGGGAUGCAAAGGUGUUCCAGUAGUUUUGGCUUAUGAGGCUAUGAUUGUUUGGAUUGGGUGAUGGCUCAGGAUUAUAGAUGUACAACUUUUACUGCUCAACAUUGUGCGCCAUGAAUAGAGAUCAUCUCACCUGUGACUUAGGUUGUCACCAGUCUGAUCUCUUCCAUGCCUUAGGCCCUCCAAUACACUAGAUCCACGACUUUGCUGAUGGGAGAAAAGCAAACCAGACCUUAAACUGAUAGGUGACUUCUCU